rnacentral:lncRNA from 1 species
CACACCUGCAAGAUGGGGAGGGAAGUGGGGAGGAAGAGAGACAAAUAAACUGAAAUAUAGCGGGGUAAGGAGAAAGAAGAAACCCUCCAUUUCACUCCUCAUCACCUUCUCCUCUCUCCUCGUCUCCUCAUUGCCCUCUCAUCUCUUCCCUAAUGCAGAUUAAAGUGAGCCAUGUACUCUAAUGCUCUAAUUGGGCCUAGGAGAUGGGAACCAAUAGAGAUUGAUAGAGGUGGAUAGAGAUAGUGAUAAAAGAGGAGGGGUGAGAAAGAGAGAGGGAGAGACAGGGGUUGAGGGUUAAGACAAGUGAGAAGCUUUAGUGAUUGAGAGACAGAGAGGGUGAGCAAUACAUUGAGAGAGAGAGAGAGAGAGAGCUUGUGUAAUUGUGAUGGUAAUAGGUUUUGUCAGGAGCACCUGUCAGGGUCGAGCUGGAGCCGCUCCGGAGCGACGAGGAGAUGGAGGAGAGGAAAGGAACAGGGUAUUGGAGUCAGGAUCACUCUGAGGAAAGUCCAAUCCAUGAUAGCGUUACCUGAUUGCCAAUUUGUGUCUGUCUUCAGACAUCACACACACACACAUGCACUGUAGUGGAAUGAUGGAGUUGAUUGGACAGGCUCUUGGUGCCUAACGAGGGGUCCAGGGCAAUCACAGACCAGUUGCUUUGUGACUGGAGGAGAAUGAAGGCCGCUACAGCUUGUAUUCUCAUAAUUUCUCGAUGAAAAGGGAGCGCUACACUGAUUGUCUUCCCCCCUACUGUGCAUGCAGUUGAGUUGUGUUUGAAUCGGGCGUGCUGUUCAGAAAUGUUUACUGGAACAGAGAACUUUGAUCAAACUUCUGUGAUUGAGGCUGGAAUCCUAGGGACUCAUCUUUUUCUCUGUCUUUCUUCCUCUCUCACUCUUUUUCUCUUCACUCAAUCUCUUGUUUGUCCUGCAUCUCUUUUUCUCUCCUUGCACGCACACACGCACACAUCGAUUGGAGAGUCGAUAUUGAGCAGUGGCUCUCGUCUAAAUUAAUAUUUGAUUUCUCUGGGGGUUUCAGACUGGAACCCACGGCAUUGAGUUACAGUCUAAACGUUACAGUCUGAGGGAUUGCUCUAAACGUUGUUUGAUUAAGUUUGUGUGUGUGUACGUGUGUGUGUAUGCGUGCCUGCCUGCAAUACAACCCCCUACACACACAUGCAUGCACACACUCACACACACACACACACACACACACACACACACACACACACAUCACUUGUCUAGAAUGCAUCACUCACUGCUAAGCCUCUGCCAUUAAAGCUGUUCAUUUAUCCGACACACAUGGUGACUUAUGUUUGAUUGAUGUGAGCACUAGGCCCAGAACUGUCUCUCAAACACUAGGCCCAGAACUGUCUCUCAAACACUAGGCCCAGAACUGUCUCUCAAACACUAGGCCCAGAACUGUCUCUCAAACACUAGGCCCAGAACUGUCUCUCAAACACUAGGCCCAGAACUGUCUCUCAAACACUAGGACCAGAACUGUGUCUCUCAAACACUAGGCCCAGAACUGUGUCUCUCAAACACUAGACCCAGAACUGUGUCUCUCAAACACUAGGCCCAGAACUGUGUCUCUCAAACAGAGUCCCCAGUUCUCUGCAGCGAUAUGGUGAAACCAAAUGCUUGCCUUGUGUACUGUAGCAUCAUUCUUGCUUCAAAAUCCAAUAGUGCUAUUUGUGUACAGUAUAUGGGUGUAUUCUAGGGUUUAGGGUGGGAAGAAAAUCCUUAGUACUGCAGUCAUCCAUUGUAAUGUAAGGAUGAGAGACCCUGGUAUUGUGCUAUAACUCCAAACACAAACACAAGGUAUGUUUCUCUCUGUCAGUGUGUUUGUUUACUUUGUUCUGUUGUUUGUGAGAUCUGAUUGGUAUCAGCGCAGCAGUGUGUGUGUGUGUGUGUGAGAGAGAGUGUGAGAGAGUGUGUGUGUGUGUGAGAUUGAGAGUGAGAGUGAGAGAGAGAGAGAGAGAGAGAGAGAGAGAGAGAGAGAGAGAGAGAGCACGCUGGGGUAAUCUGCUUCUGCAAGAGUUUGUUACAUUAUUCAUCUUCCUGGGGCUCUGCGGCAGGGAGGGAGCAGCGGAGAGGGGUGGAGGAAUAGAGGAAGAGAGAGAAAUGGGGAGAGAGAAACAGAGAGGGUAAAGGACUCAGAUAGAGCAGCCAAACAUCUACGCACUGAGAGAUACAGUAUCAGAUACAUUACUCCCAGAUUGAAGCGGGUUAUUCAUGAACUUUACAGCCACAGUAAAACAGUCUUCUAAAACCCAACUUAAAAAAUACCGAAGUGACCUUCAUGGGAGGGAUCUCAGAUAUUUGUGACUCCAGAGUAUGUUGUUCAGAGCAGACAUCUGUUCUAAACAGACAGGUACUAGUUAACCUGAGCCUUGUAUUAAAUGUCCACCCCAAGGCCUGGGGCGAGGUAAAGAGAAGAGACAGUGUGAGGAAAGGGCUGGGUAUCGAUCCUUAGAGACAGACUUUGGCCUUCGGAUCAGACAAUAUUGACAGGCUAUCACCCACACACCCAGCGAAGUCUGACACUGUCGGACACCCAUCAUUAACACACACACGUGCAUGCAUACCCAUACGCCGGAGGGAGGCUUGAGUGUGUGUGAGGCGGAGGGCUGUGUGCUUGGGAUGCGGAGCACGUCCGAGGUCUGUGAAGUUCUCCUUGCAGCAAAGCCUCAUUAAAGAGGCUCGCCUUAACACAGCUAUCUACAGCCAGACCAGACCUGACCACACACACAGAGAGGGAAGGAGAUAGAGAGAGAGCGAGAGAGAGUGAAAGAGACACUGAGGAACACAAGCACGCACACAAACACCUGAAAUACUAUAUAAAUCUUUCUCAGGACACUGGUUUUACACAGUGUUUGAGUGGGAGCGAAUGGGUUUGUUAGAAGAAGAAGAAUGUUCGCUGCCAUGGUGAUUUAAUCAGACACACAAAAAAAGACCUGACGAAGAUCCAACUCGGCUCGAAACCCUGUUCUUUUUUUGCGUCAGAUUAAAUUACCCUGGGAGCACACCAAAGUUGCAGACAUUCUUUUUUCUUUGAUCUGUCCUGCACCUGAUAAGUUGUAUGUGCAUAUUUGUCUAUUUUUUAUUUUAUUAUAUUUUUACAAUGGGAUUGUUCUCAUCAGGGAGGGUGGGAUUUGACCCCUCCCUCUACAUCCACAGUGUUUAAACUAUGUUCUCCCAAAACAAUUCCCCUCCUACAGUAAUAUGAUAUUCAUGUAUAUUUGAUUGUGUCACCUCUGUGGAGAUUGCCUAUGGUGUGUCUGUGUGCCUUUUAAAUCUGUGUUUAUGAAUAAGUAAUAGAUUGCUAUGCACUCUGAUUAUUAAAGAAGCCAUAUUGCCAGGAAGCCAUGAUGAAAUUAUAUUGUAAUUCCUGCAUCUCCGAUGAAUACAUUUAUAUUUUUCUUUCUUGCAAUUUCUUUCCUGUUUCUGUUCCGGUAAAUGAGCGCUAAAGCUCUCUUGUUUUGCGCUGAGACUCCCUGACGUUUACAUUUGUAUGGUUUUCACAACUGCGCUGAGAUUUUUUUAAUAAAACUGUCCUGUUUCUAAAUAUACAG